rnacentral:lncRNA from 1 species
ACGGCGGACCAGCGCAGGGAGCGGCUCGGAUCUCUGCACCUUUCCAGGCUUGCCCGGGACCGCUACGGAGUCCAUUGGGCCUUUUGGCUCUUGCUAUGCCUGGAGAGUGGCUAUCUCUGAAACGGGAAACCCAAGGAAACCGGGUCAGCUGGACACUCCAGUCACCCUCCGGGAGAGGGGCCUCUUAGCUGGGAAGUAAGGGGAAGAGGAAGGAGUCGGAUCUUGCGGUCAGCUCCAGAUCGCCAUCUAGCGGCUUUUCUGGAGCCGCGAGGAAACUCUGGGGUCAACUGUCUUAGUUUCCUGGCUUUAGAUGUUUAUUCUGUAAGUGUCCGGUUCACAAGGGCCAAGGCUUUUAAGAGAUCCAUUGGAGAAGCAAUGCGCUGGGGGGAGAAAAGAAAAGGAAGAGAAGAAAGAUGUUUGGCUGGGAGUCUUAGGCCUCGUUCACCCACCACAGAUGUCUCAACUAUUGGAGUUGAAAGGAGUCCAACCGGGUGUGAACUGCACCUGCAGUCCCAGCUUUCUUGAAACCAAGAGAUCCCAAGUUUUACUCCACCCGUUAUCAACACACAUGCACACAAAGGUGUCCAAAGUGUAUUUCAGACUUCCUCCUCUGUGGAAAAUUGCCAGUGGUGUGCUUUGCAUGGGUGAGGCCCAGCUAUUACCAUCAUAAAAGGGGGUGGGAGGCUGGGGAGACAGCACAGCACUUCUUCUGCUCUUCCAGGGGACCGAUCCGCGUGGGACAGCUCACACGUGUCUGAAACUACCCCACCAGGAUCCCCUGGCUCUCUCUCCGCCUCUGGGAGACCGAAUUCAGCUUGGAACGCAUGCUGUCUGCAGUUGAGGCAAAGGCAGUCUCUUGCCCGGUGUCAGCCUGAAGCAAAUUCGGUGUGGAGGGUCCUCAGUGCUCAUCGUCUUUUUUGAAAUGGAAUGGAGGCUGAUGUGUCUCAUUGUCAAAGAGCGAACAAACAAACAAAACACAUUUUUAUCAAUAAA